GGAGUCUGGGCCGUGUCUCAGUCCCAAUGUGGCCGUCCACCCUCUCAGGCCGGCUACCGAUCGUCGCCUUGGUGGGCCGUCGCCCCGCCAACCAGCUAAUCGGACGCGGGCCCAUCGGAGAGCGGAUGUUUCCAUCCUUUGGCACACCGGACAUGCGUCCGAUAUGCAACAUCCGGUAUUAGCACCCCUUUCGGGAUGUUGUCCCCGUCUCUCCGGCAGGUUGCCCACGCGUUACUCACCCGUUUGCCACUAGGCUUUAAAAAGCAAGCUUUCUAUCGCCCCGUUCGACUUGCAUGUGUUAAGCACGCCGCCAGCGUUCGUCCUCGAGCCAUGAUCAAACUACU
rnacentral:rRNA from 1 species